AAAAGCAAAGGGAAAGGAUUACUGGUUUCAUUGACCCGAUACCAGAGACUCUCAGAGAGUUUUCCUUUUAGUUUGAGGGCACGAGACGAGACUAUUCUUCCUUCCGUUCCAGUCCUCCCCUCCCUAGUCCCUCCCGGUUAUUCAUUACAUGACCAAAUGUUCUGGUGUGAGAUUCCCUAAACCUAAACGCUAAACCCCCAGCCAGGAAGGAAGAGGGAGAAGGUUGUGCAAACAUGCGUACCCAGAAGGAUCCGUGGUUCUUUCUCUCCGUUCUUUUUCUCUGCUUCUUUCUCAAGGCCCAUCCCUCCAACGGAGCUGCUUCCAUCUCUGCUGGCCAAUCUCUUUCCGGAAACCAGACUAUAGUUUCUGAAAAAGGUAACUUUGAACUGGGUUUCUUCAGGCCAGGUACUUCGUCGUCUCAGAACUACUACAUAGGCAUCUGGUACAAACAAGUCUCUGCUCAGACCAUAGUUUGGGUAGCAAAUCGAGAGAACCCCGUCUCUGAUAUUAAUUCUUCAGAGCUUAAAAUUUUAGAAGAUGGCAAUCUGGCCCUCUUCGACCAGUCCAAAAUCCUAGUUUGGACGACAAAUUUGACCUCUGCACCCUCCAAUUCUACCGAGGCAGUGCUUCUUGACUCUGGAAAUCUUGUUUUGAGGGAUGGGUCGGAUUCAUCUAUUUGGGAGAGCUUUGAUCAUCCAACUCAUACAUGGCUUCCUGGUGGAAAGCUUUCAUUCAAUAAACGCACCAACAAAUCCCAGCUCCUUACCUCAUGGAGAAGUGAAGAUGAUCCCGCCCCUGGGAUCUUCUCUCUCGAGCUAGAUCCAACAGGAACCAAUCAAUAUAUCAUACUGUGGAACGGGUCUCUACAAUACUGGGAAAGUGGGCCUUGGAAUGGACAUAUUUUCAGCAAAGUUCCUGAGAUGAGAUCAAAUUAUAUCUACAAUUUCAGCUACGAAGAUAACGUGAACCAGAGUUACUUCACCUAUAGUGUUUAUGAUAGCUCUCUUAUUUCGAGAUUCGUGAUGGAUUUAUCGGGGCAGAUCAAACAACUCACGUGGCUGGAAGACCAAUCGAAGUGGAAUUUGUUUUGGUCUCAACCAAGACAACAGUGUGAAGUUUAUAAGCUUUGUGGCACUUUUAGUACCUGCAACCAGCAAGGCUUACCCUUCUGUGGAUGUUUGCCUGGUUUUGAAGUAAAUUCUGUAAGAGAUUGGAAUCUAAGCGAUCGGUCUGGUGGGUGUCGGAGGAGAACCCCCUUGCAAUGCAACGAUACUACUGCUGUUAAUGGGAAGAAAGAUAUCUUCUCACGGAUGGCCAACGUAAAAUUGCCAUUAAAUUCGCAGUCUGUGGCAGCUGAGAUUCUGGGAGCCUGUGAGUUAGCUUGCUUGAACAGCUGCUCUUGUACUGCUUAUUCUUUUGGUAAUGGUAGGUGCUCAAUAUGGUAUGGAGAUCUCUUUAACCUGCAACAACUAUCAGACAGUGAGAGUCGUGGAGAUGAUUUCUAUCUCAGACUUGCUGCAUCUGAGAUUCCAAGUUCUGGUAGCAAGAAGGGAACACCAAUUGGGGUUAUUGUGGGUGCGGUUAUUGGUUUUGUAAUCAUCUUUGCCUUUGUUUUGGUGCUAGUCUGGAGAAGGAAGAGGAGCGGAUCGGUUGGAUUGUCAAAUGCGCUCGAGGGUUCUUUGAUUCCUUUUGGGUACAGAGACUUGCAGAAUGCGACCAAGAACUUCUCAGAAAAAUUGGGAGGAGGAGGUUUCGGUUCUGUUUUUAAAGGUACAUUGCCCGAUGGAGCUAUCAUAGCUGUGAAGAAGCUUGAAGGCCUCCAUCAAGGAGAGAAGCAGUUCAGGACAGAGGUGAGCACGAUUGGGGCGAUUCAACAUGUUAAUCUUGUUCGUCUUCGGGGCUUUUGCUCUGAAGGCACUAGAAGGUUGCUUGUGUAUGAUUACAUGCCAAAUGGCUCUUUAGAUUUUCAUCUGUUUCGUGAAGAGUCUGGAACUUUAGACUGGAAGACCAGAUACCAGAUUGCACUUGGAACUGCUAGGGGAUUAGCUUAUCUACAUGAGAAAUGCAGAGAUUGCAUCAUACACUGUGAUAUCAAGCCGGAGAACAUACUUUUGGAUUUAGAAUUCUGUCCCAAAGUGGCAGAUUUUGGUUUGGCAAAGCUUAUUGGGCGGGAAUUCAGCCGGGUUCUGACAACCAUGAGAGGAACCAGAGGAUACCUUGCACCAGAGUGGAUUUCAGGUGUGGCUAUAACAGUUAAAGCUGAUGUUUAUAGUUAUGGCAUGAUGCUUUUUGAAAUUAUUUCAGGAAGGAGAAACUCCGAGCAAUCAGAAGAUGGAAAGGUUAGGUUCUUUCCCACUUGGGCUGCAAGACAAGUAAGCGAAGGUGAGGAAGUCCUUGGCAUGUUGGAUCACAGACUAGGGGGUGAUGCCAAUGUGGAAGAACUCAAUAGAGUCUGCAGAGUUGCUUGUUGGUGCAUCCAAGAUAACGAAAUUCAUAGGCCAUCAAUGGGUCAAGUAGUUCAGAUACUUGAAGGGGUUUUGGAGGUGAAUACCCCUCCAGUCCCAAGAUCUCUCCAAGUUCUUGUGGACAACCAAGAAAAUAUAAUUUUCUACUCCGAGUCAUCUUCUAACCACAGUCAUCAAGCACAGAGCAAUACAUCCAAUUCUUCCUCUCAAUCAAAGCAGACCACCUCAUCAACAGAUUCCAAGUCGUGAGUAUUGCAGAUGUUGUCAAAAUAUUUAUAGCAUUUAAUCAUGGUGAGUUACGUGCAGUAUUAUUACCUCAAAACCAGGAGAUCUAAACUUCGGCUAGCUAAGACGGAAGGCCCAACUCGAGGAGUUCGAGGGUCAAAGGAUGGAUCCAGAGACUACUACCUCUGACC